AACAGAACUCUGGCAAGUAUUGUUCAGAUCUCAUUUCUGUCCACAUGUAGAAUCCUGACAAGUCAUAUGUGAAGCACUGGCCACCAAGAAAAGAAUUUCUACAGCUGCAGAACACUGGGUUCCAUUUUGGACAGUUGUGAGAAAGAUAUGCAUUUCUUUCAACAGAAGUCCAGAGGCACUGGAAAUAUUCUUACUAAAGAAAUGCCAAAAAUUGGCAUAUCAAGGAGAGUGGGGGAAAGGGAGAGAAAUCACCAACAGGUUGAAGCAUUCUUUGUACAAGAACACCUUCGGAAGAUUCUUUCCCAAUCCCACUUCUUGUACGAGGAAGCAACUGUAGCAAAAAGCCUGGAUUUGUGAGCUUCCAUAGAAACAGUUUUAGAGGCUAUGUUGCAUUAUUCAUUAAUGUUGUGGAUAACAACUUCAACCUCAGGACUGUUGAGCCAGCACUUUCAAGAGCAGUAAAUUCCCUGAGGGAGGGAAGGAGAAAAAUUGUCCCUACCCUGAGGUUUGAAAAAUAGUCUUCACUACAGGAAGAGUUUGCUGAGGGGUUGUGUCUAAUGAGAAGAAAUUAUCUGAGAGGAUAAUCACCCCCUGCAACAGUUUUGGAAACCUGAAGCUCCCUAGAAGACUGCUAUAGAGAUUUUUUUCGUAUUCUUCCAUCCCCUGACGGGCACCUGCUGAAUCUUUGUGAGAUCCUGAAAAGGGGAAUUGGUGCUGUGGAAACAUUAUUUCUUUCUUUCUUUUUCUACCUGAUAUGCCUAUGGGAAAAAGAGAAACAGUGUCUUCCUUAUGGACAAUAUCGUGUAUGCAAACCAGAACACAAAAUUUGAAAUGAGUAUUUAGAGAGGCAGUGAGAAACAAGACAGGAUUAAAACUCCCUAAACUCUUCUAUUCAGCUGAUAUCUUCAGCUUAUAUUGAUUAUAAAAUUUUGUGGUUUGUUUUGGGAGGGACAGCAAGAGAGGUUAACUAAUAUUUAUCUGUCCCAGUUAUUAGUCCUUAGGAGUAUAUAGUAUGUUCCAGUCUUCUCAGUCUUGCAAAAAUUUUCUUUUGAAUGACAGUAACAGUUUUGUUUCUUGUUAAUAAUGUUUUUACUGCACUUACGGUGAUUUGGCCGUGAUAUCCUCAGAGAUACCUUGUUUGAUGUUCUUGUUCAAAAUUUGUAACACAGGGCAUCUGAUAACUUUUGUGAAAGUUUUACUUUAAUAUAUUAAAAGAGAGAAAAAAUAAAUUCUCAGUUUUCAGGGCUAAGAAUUCA
rnacentral:lncRNA from 1 species